rnacentral:misc_RNA from 1 species
UGGUUCUGGCAUCGAUGAAGAACGCAGCGAAAUGCGAUAAGUAAUGUGAAUUGCAGAAUUCAGUGAAUCAUCGAAUCUUUGAACGCACAUUGCGCCCUUUGGUAUUCCGAGGGGCAUGCCUGUUCGAGCGUCAUCUAAACCAUCAAGCACCGCUUGGUCUUGGGCCCGGUCUAGCGACCAGCCCACAACCCCUUGGCGGCACCGUCCGGCUCCGAGCGUAGUAGAAAUUUCGCUCCGGGACGCCGCGGCGGCGCCUGCCGGCAACAGCACACCUAGAGUUUGACCUCGGAUCAGGUAGGGAUACCCGCUGA